CCACCCCUCUAUCUGUCUUUUUGUUUUUGUUUUUGUUUUUUGGCAACUCGGUCCUUUUUGGAGUAAUCUUCCUGCAGCAGUUCUGAGAUACAAGUGUGCUCAUGAGAUGCCUUAUACUGCAGUGACAGGCUUAGUGGAUUUGUGCAAACUCAUAGAGAGCAGACACCCAUCUAUAAAUCAAGGGUAUCUUGCGGUUGAGUUUGGUUUAUGUACAAAAAAGGCUGUGUUGGGUCCCUGCAGUGACAUACCUGCUGACUCUUGUUGAGUUUGUUUUGUAACAACAAGUAGUAAAAGCAAGGUCACCGUGUCAUGUGCUUCUGUGAGUGUGUGUGUGUGUGUGUGUGUGUGUGUGUGUGUGUGUGUGUG